UAAGGAAUAUUGGUCAAUGGACGCAAGUCUGAACCAGCCAUGCCGCGUGAAGGAUGAAGGUCCUCUGGAUUGUAAACUUCUUUUAUCUGGGACGAAAACGAGAUUUUUAUCUCAAUUGACGGUACCAGAGGAAUAAGCACCGGCUAACUCCGUGCCAGCAGCCGCGGUAAUACGGAGGGUGCGAGCGUUAUCCGGAUUUACUGGGUUUAAAGGGUGCGUAGGUGGGCUUAUAAGUCAGUGGUGAAAUCUCCGAGCUUAACUUGGAAACUGCCGUUGAUACUAUAGGUCUUGAAUUAUCUGGAGGUAAGCGGAAUAUGUCAUGUAGCGGUGAAAUGCUUAGAUAUGACAUAGAACACCAAUUGCGAAGGCAGCUUACUACAUAUAAAUUGACGCUGAGGCACGAAAGCGUGGGGAUCAAACA
rnacentral:rRNA from 1 species